rnacentral:rRNA from 1 species
GCUUCACUACGGGAGGCUGCAGUGGGGAAUCUUGCGCAAUGGGCGAAAGCCUGACGCAGCCAUGCCGCGUGAAUGAUGAAGGUCUUAGGAUUGUAAAAUUCUUUCACCGGGGACGAUAAUGACGGUACCCGGAGAAGAAGCCCCGGCUAACUUCGUGCCAGCAGCCGCGGUAAUACGAAGGGGGCUAGCGUUGCUCGGAAUUACUGGGCGUAAAGGGAGCGUAGGCGGACAUUUAAGUCAGGGGUGAAAUCCCGGGGCUCAACCUCGGAAUUGCCUUUGAUACUGGGUGUCUUGAGUAUGAGAGAGGUGUGUGGAACUCCGAGUGUAGAGGUGAAAUUCGUAGAUAUUCGGAAGAACACCAGUGGCGAAGGCGACACACUGGCUCAUUACUGACGCUGAGGCUCGAAAGCGUGGGGAGCAAACAGGAUUAGAUACCCUUGUAGUCGAAUUCUU